rnacentral:rRNA from 1 species
UACGGGGGGGGCAAGCGUUGUUCGGAAUUACUGGGCGUAAAGGGCUCGUAGGCGGCCAACUAAGUCAGACGUGAAAUCCCCAGGCUCAACCUGGGAACUGCGUCUGAUACUGGAUGGCUUGAAUUCGGGAGAGGGAUGCAGAAUUCCAGGUGUAGCGGUGAAAUGCGUAGAUAUCUGGAGGAAUACCGGCGGCGAAGGCGGCAUCCUGGACCGACAUUGACGCUGAUGAGCGAAAGCUAGGGGAGCAAACGGG